AGGUGAGUACUGAGUAGCAUUUCGAAAGGCCCUUUGUUUUUAACGAAUCUUUCAAGACUUGCAACAUUGGCUUCAAUUUUCAUUUAUUGAAAAAUCGUAUAUUUAUGGAGUCUGAAGAACAUCAGCAUUUUGACAAAUUUCCUGUUGUUUUUGUUUAUAAAUGGCCAAAGUUACGUUCCUUUUACUUAUCUGCUCAAAAGCUGAAGCAUUAAUGUUUAAGCAAAGUCAAUGUUCAUAUCAUCAUCAUAACUGGGUGAGUUGAAAGAUUACUGAAUGAAGAAUUUUCUUAAUCGCAGGUUGGAUGGAUUUAUGGUUCUGUUACAGAAGAUAUCCUGACAGGCUUCAAGAUGCAUUGUAGAGGGUGGAGGUCUGUCUACUGUUCUCCCCAGAGACCAGCUUUUAAGGGAUCUGCUCCCAUUAAUCUAUCAGAUAGGUUGCACCAAGUUCUGCGAUGGGCACUAGGCUCUAUUGAGAUUUUCCUUAGUCAUCACUGUCCUCUAUGGUAUGGCUAUGGAGGAAAGUUGAAGUUGCUGGAGAGGCUUGCUUACAUCAACACCAUCGUUUACCCUUUCACCUCCAUUCCCUUACUUGCCUACUGUACUAUUCCAGCAGUCUGCCUUCUGACAGGAAAAUUUAUCAUCCCUACUGUAAGUGAUACUGAAUUGUAUUGCAGAGAUUAACACAUUGAAAACAAUGUCAUUCCUCCAUCCACAGCUAUUCUUUUUUGUCUCUUCCAAUAGUAUUAAUUUUAACCAAAUUUAUUUUUUUU
rnacentral:lncRNA from 1 species